rnacentral:rRNA from 1 species
UACGUAGGGUGCAAGCGUUGUCCGGAAUUAUUGGGCGUAAAGAGCUCGUAGGCGGUCUGUUGCGUCGGCUGUGAAAACCCGGGGCUCAACCCCGGGCCUGCAGCCGAUACGGGCAGACUAGAGUUCGGCAGGGGAGACUGGAAUUCCUGGUGUAGCGGUGAAAUGCGCAGAUAUCAGGAGGAACACCGGUGGCGAAGGCGGGUCUCUGGGCCGAUAUUGACGCUGAGGAGCGAAAGCGUGGGGAGCGAACAGG